rnacentral:rRNA from 1 species
GGUUCAGGAUGAACGCUGGCGGCGUGCCUAACACAUGCAAGUCGAACGGGGUGUCAGAAGCUUGCUUUGACACUUAGUGGCGGACGGGUGAGUAAUGUAUGAGCAAUCUGCCUUUCAGAGGGGGACAACAGUUGGAAACGACUGCUAAUACCGCAUAACGUAUUCGGGGGGCAUCCCCUGGAUACCAAAGGAGCAAUCCGCUGAAAGAUGGGCUCAUAUCUGAUUAGCUUGUUGGUGGGGUAACGGCUCACCAAGGCUGCGAUCAGUAGCCGGACUGAGAGGUUGAACGGCCACAUUGGGACUGAGAUACGGCCCAGACUCCUACGGGAGGCAGCAGUGGGGAAUAUUGGGCAAUGGGCGAAAGCCCUGACCCAGCAACGCCGCGUGAAGGAAGAAGGUCCUCGGACUGUAAACUUCUUUUAUGAGGGACGAAGGACGUGACGGUACCUCAUGAAUAAGCCACGGCUAACUACGUGCCAGCAGCCGC